GACGAACGCUGGCGGCGUGCCUAAUACAUGCAAGUAGAACGCACAGUUUAUACCGUAGCUUGCUACACCAUAGACUGUGAGUUGCGAACGGGUGAGUAACGCGUAGGUAACCUGCCUGGUAGCGGGGGAUAACUAUUGUAAACGAUAGCUAAUACCGCAUAAUAUUAAUUAUUGCAUGAUAAUUAAUUGAAAGGUGCAAUUGCACCACUACCAGAUGGACCUGCGUUGUAUUAGCUAGUAGGUGAGGUAACGGCUCACCUAGGCGACGAUACAUAGCCGACCUGAGAGGGUGAUCGGCCACACUGGGACUGAGACACGGCCCAGACUCCUACGGGAGGCAGCAGUAGGGAAUCUUCGGCAAUGGACGAAAGUCUGACCGAGCAACGCCGCGUGAGUGAAGAAGGUUUUCGGAUCGUAAAGCUCUGUUGUAAGAGAAGAACGGGUGUGAGAGUGGAAAGUUCACACUGUGACGGUAUCUGACCAGAAAGGGACGGCUAACUACGUG
rnacentral:rRNA from 1 species